rnacentral:rRNA from 1 species
GGGACCAUCCUCCAAGGCUAAAUACUCCUGACUGACCGAUAGUGAACCAGUACCGUGAGGGAAAGGCGAAAAGAACCCCGGCGAGGGGAGUGAAACAGAACCUGAAACCGUGUACGUACAAGCAGUGGGAGCCCCACCACCAAAGCGUUUCGCUUUGCGUGGUGCGCAAAAUGCGUAACGACAGCACGAUUACGAUUAACGGAGCGUAAGCGACGUUCAACACAAAAAUCAGGCAGUGGAGCGUUUUGGGGUGGGGUGACUGCGUACCUUUUGUAUAAUGGGUCAGCGACUUAUAUUCUGUAGCAAGGUUAACCGCAUAGGGGAGCCGGAGGGAAACCGAGUCUUAAUUGGGCGUUAAGUUGCAGGGUAUAGACCCGAAACCCGGUGAUCUAGCCAUGGGCAGGUUGAAGGUUGGGUAACACUAACUGGAGGACCGAACCGACUAAUGUUGAAAAAUUAGCGGAUGACCUGUGGCUGGGGGUGAAAGGCCAAUCAAACCGGGAGAUAGCUGGUUCUCCCCGAAAGCUAUUUAGGUAGCGCCUCGUGAAUUCAUCUCCGGGGGUAGAGCACUGUUUCGGCCAGGGGGCCAUCCCGGCUUACCAAUCCGAUGCAAACUGCGAAUACCGGAGAAUGUUAUCACGGGAGACACACGGCGGGUGCUAACGUCCGUCGUGAAGAGGGAAACAACCCAGACCGCCAGCUAAGGUCCCAAAGUCAUGGUUAAGUGGGAAACGAUGUGGGAAGGCCCAGACAGCCAGGAUGUUGGCUUAGAAGCAGCCAUCAUUUAAAGAAAGCGUAAUAGCUCACUGGUCGAGUCGGCCUGCGCGGAAGAUGUAACGGGGCUAAACCAUGCACCGAAGCUGCGGCAGCGAACGUAUCACCCAAGACAACUUUGCACAGUUGACGAUUGACGGAGCGAAGCGACGUCAAAGCGUUUUACAACGUCGAGUUGGCUUAGGGAUACGUUCGUUGGGUAGGGGAGCGUUCUGUAAGCCGUUGAAGGUGGCCUGU